rnacentral:lncRNA from 1 species
AUGCCUGGGCAGGGCGAAGCGAGAGGAAACUCUGGUGGGGGUCUGUAGUGGUCCUGACGUGCAAAUCGGUCAUCUGAUCUGGGUAUAGGGGCAAAAGACUAAUCCAACCAUCUAGUAGCUGGUUCCCUCUGAAGUUUUCCUAAGGAUAACGGGCGCUCUCGCAAAAACCCCAUGCCACGCAGUUAUUUGGUAAAGCGAAUGAUUAGGGGUCUUGGAGUCAAAAUGAUCUCAACCAAUUCUCAAACUUUAAAUGGGUUAGAAGCCCAGCUCGAUGGCAUGGGGCCAGGUGCAGAUCUUGGUGGUAGUAGCAAAUAUUCAAAUGAGAACUUUGAAGGCCGAAGUGGAGAAGGAAGUUGCUUGAUCUUGAUUUUCAGUAUGAAUACAGACCGGGAAAGCAGGGCCUCA